rnacentral:rRNA from 1 species
UAAUGACUCUCGGCAACGGAUAUCUCGGCUCUCGCAUCGAUGAAGAACGUAGCGAAAUGCGAUACUUGGUGUGAAUUGCAGAAUCCCGUGAACCAUCGAAACGCAAGUUGCGCCCGAAGCCAUUAGGUCGAGGGCACGCCUGCCUGG